GGAAGUAAAAGUCGUAACAAGGUCUCCGUUGGUGAACCAGCGGAGGGAUCAUUACCGAGUUUACAACUCCCAAACCCCUGUGAACAUACCACUUGUUGCCUCGGCGGAUCAGCCCGCUCCCGGUAAAACGGGACGGCCCGCCAGAGGACCCCUAAACUCUGUUUCUAUAUGUAACUUCUGAGUAAAACCAUAAAUAAAUCAAAACUUUCAACAACGGAUCUCUUGGUUCUGGCAUCGACGAAGAACGCAGCAAAAUGCGAUAAGUAAUGUGAAUUGCAGAAUUCAGUGAAUCAUCGAAUCUUUGAACGCACAUUGCGCCCGCCAGUAUUCUGGCGGGCAUGCCUGUUCGAGCGUCAUUUCAACCCUCAAGCACAGCUUGGUGUUGGGACUCGCGUUAAUUCGCGUUCCUCAAAUUGAUUGGCGGUCACGUCGAGCUUCCAUAGCGUAGUAGUAAAACCCUCGUUACUGGUAAUCGUCGCGGCCACGCCGUUAAACCCCAACUUCUGAAUGUUGACCUCGGAUCAGGUAGGAAUACCCGCUGAACUUAAGCAUAUCAAUAAGCGGAGGA
rnacentral:rRNA from 1 species